UAGAGUUUGAUCCUGGCUCAGAUUGAACGCUGGCGGUAUGCUUAACACAUGCAAGUCGAACGGAAACGAUACUAGCUUGCUAGUAGGCGUCGAGUGGCGGACGGGUGAGUAACGCGUAGGAAUCUACCUAAUAGUGGGGGAUAGCCCGGAGAAAUCCGGAUUAAUACCGCAUAAUCUCUAUGGAGUAAAGGGGCCCUCUUCUUGAAAGGUUUCGCUAUCAGAUGAGCCUGCGUAAGAUUAGCUAGUUGGUGAGGUAAAAGCUCACCAAGGCGACGAUCUUUAGCUGGUCUGAGAGGAUGAUCAGCCACACUGGGACUGAGACACGGCCCAGACUCCUACGGGAGGCAGCAGUGGGGAAUAUUGGACAAUGGGGGCAACCCUGAUCCAGCAAUACCGCGUGUGUGAAGAAGGCCUGAGGGUUGUAAAGCACUUUCAAUUGUGAAGAAAAGUUAAUAGUUAAU
rnacentral:rRNA from 1 species